AUGGAUUGCCUACGCUUUGCAUGUGUUUCUGAGCUUUGGUGGAGAGGUACCCUUGCAAAUCCAAUACAUGAUCUUUGUCAUCUUGCCUGGAAAACCACUCGAUUGCUGGCUUGCUCGUUCAAAAUAGGCGACAACUCCCAUCUGAAUCCAACACUUCUAGUACAUUGCUUUCACUUCACAAAGAUCCCGCGCCCCUGCGCAUCCACGCACAACACACCAAACAUCAGCCCAAUGCCCAACGAAAAACACAAGAAAAGUGCAGCAUCAGUCAAGGUCUCUUCAACUUACGACGAGGAAGAUGCUGGAGGCGGCCAGCGCGAGAGGGAUGGCGACGGAGGUGACCACGUCGUAGCGCCCCUUGAGGUACGUCGGCCUGUGCACGCUCUGGAAGUACCUCUGCUUCUCCACCACCUUCUCCCUCGGCCGGAACGGCGCCUCCGGCUCCGGCGAGUAUGA
rnacentral:rRNA from 1 species